GAUGAACGCUGGCGGCGUGCCUAAUACAUGCAAGUCGAGCGAACAGACGAGGAGCUUGCUCCUCUGACGUUAGCGGCGGACGGGUGAGUAACACGUGGAUAACCUACCUAUAAGACUGGGAUAACUUCGGGAAACCGGAGCUAAUACCGGAUAACAUGUUGAACCGCAUGGUUCAACAGUGAAAGACGGUCUUGCUGUCACUUAUAGAUGGAUCCGCGCGGCAUUAGCUAGUUGGUAAGGUAACGGCUUACCAAGGCAACGAUGCGUAGCCGACCUGAGAGGGUGAUCGGCCACACUGGAACUGAGACACGGUCCAGACUCCUACGGGAGGCAGCAGUAGGGAAUCUUCCGCAAUGGGCGAAAGCCUGACGGAGCAACGCCGCGUGAGUGAAGAAGGUCUUCGGAUCGUAAAACUCUGUUAUUAGGGAAGAACAAAUGUGUAAGUAACUAUGCACGUCUUGACGGUACCUAAUCAGAAAGCCACGGCUAACUACGUG
rnacentral:rRNA from 1 species